GUCUUCCCCAGUGAUGAGAUCACUCACCAUAUAUGAAGUCUGACCCACUGCAAAGUCUAUCAGGAAUCAACUGACAGAGACCCAGAGCAUCUCUACAGCACACUGAAGAUAUUCAGGUACCUGACCCAAGAUGCUGAAGGUCUCUGGCCUCUUCAUUCUCCUCUGUGGGCUGCUUGGCUCAUCCGUUGCUGAACUGUCCCUUUCCGACGUGGUCGGCGGUGAGACUGUCCUGAUGUGGGUCAUGCUAGCCUUGUCAGACCUAUAGGCCUCUCCUAGAAGUCCAGGCCAAGAGCUAAAAACUCCAAGAAAUACACAUGUUAACCGAAGGGAUGCUAAUGGACUUCAGAGAUUCAGUGGAGAACUUCAUCAACAUGCCAAUAAAUGAACUGAUAAUUGACAUCCCGCUUAGCCCUAAAGACAUGGUACAGGUGAAAGACUUUCAAAUCCUUCCAGUCUCCCUUAAGAAAUAUCCUGAUGACACGAAGGCUGAUUUAAACGUACCAUUCAGAUUUUCAGUAGUUCUGAAUCUCCCAGGUUUUGAUCCCCUCACAUUUCACAUGGGGAUGGAUGUGAAAAUCGAGCUUUAUUUGGAAAAGAAUAAAGAUGGCAACUACCAACUUAACUUUUCGCAUUGCAGUUUCGUACCUGAAUCUCUAUGGAUCCAGCUUGAAAGCUCAGGCCUGGCCACAAAAUUGAUUACGGAAAACAGGCAGAGAAAAUUGAAAAUCCUGAUAGCCAAUAAGUUGGGAGCUUUUAUGUGUAACUUUGUUAAUUCAUGGCUCAGAGACCUGCAUCCACGAAUUGCAAAUUCACUGAUUAAAGAGAUUCUACAAUUAGACAAAUUACAAGUCACCGCCUAAAUAUCCUCAAGGUGAAGGAGCCACGUCAGUACCAAUCCGAAUCAGGUCCUGCUUGCUGAUCUCCUCUCUGGAAUGUCCUCCACACUCCAGGCCAUCACCUAUGUAGAUGUUCAUGUUGAUUAUUCAGCUGCUGCCUAGAAUUUCCUUACCCACCCUGGUCCCAAAUAUCCCCUAUUUCUCUGGGUAUGGAGGCUGUAAAUCACCAGAAUCCAUGUGCUGAUUCCCCAUAAUCUUCCCACAAUAAAUUUUGUGAUUCUCUGAAC